rnacentral:miRNA from 1 species
GGUCAGCUGACACAUCCCUGCCAAUCUCCGGCAGACUCUCCCUCCCAGACCCUACUACUUCCUGGACAGCAUCCAUGUUGAAGGCAGCUUCAACAUGGAUGCUGUCCAGGAGGUGGGAGGGUCUGGGAAGGAGGGUCUGCCGGAGAUUGGCAGGGAUGUGUCAGCUG